rnacentral:rRNA from 1 species
GCCCAUUAGUAUUCUAGUGGGCAUGCCUGUUCGAGCGUCAUUUCAACCCUUAAGCCUAGCUUAGUGUUGGGAGACUGCCUAAUACGCAGCUCCUCAAAACCAGUGGCGGAGUCUGUUCGUGCUCUGAGCGUAGUAAUUUUUUAUCUCGCUUCUGCAAGCCGGCCAGACGACAGCCAUAAACCGCACCCUCUCGGGGGGCACUUUUUUAAUGGUUGACCUCGGAUCAGGUAGGAAUACCCGCUGAACUUAAGCAUAUCAAUAAGCGGAGGAAAAGAAACCAAACAGGGAUUGCCCUAGUAACGGCGAGUGAAGCGGCAACAGCUCA